CAGUAGCCACGGUAAUACAGAGGAUGCAAGCGUUAUCCGGAUUUAUUGGGCGUAAAGCGCGUCUAGGUGGUUAUGUAAGACAGGUGUGAAAAUGCAGGGCUCAACUCUGCAUUGCGUUGGAAACUGUAUAACUAGAGUACUGGAGAGGUAAGCGGAACUACAAGUGUAGAGGUGAAAUUCGUAGAUAUUUGUAGGAAUGCCGAUGGGGAAGCCAGCUUACUGGACAGAUACUGACGCUGAAGCGCGAAAGCGUGGGUAGCAAACGGGAUUAGAUACCCCAGUAGUCCCUGUCUCUUAUACA
rnacentral:rRNA from 1 species